AGAUAACAGGCAGUUGUUUUCUAAAUACUCAAAAAUAACAUCAUAACAUUCAGUCGGAGACCCUGGAGGGAGCCCACGUCAAUGUUUCCUGUGUUGGUGCUACUCGUUCUCUUCAGGUGUUCGGUACUUUUGAAAAAACCUCGUAACCAAAAUACCAUUUGGCCAGGUAAUUUUAAUUUUUGGAGUGGUCGGUGCUACUAGACGGCAAAAGCUAAUUUCCCUGAAAACCACAGUGUCGAAGACCAUAACACUCAUUUCUUGGUCAAGCUUGUGAAAACAAAAAAAAAAACUGAGAGAUCGUUUAAACACCUCAUAAUCGUUUUUUUGUUAAUUACGUUAAACGAAAAUGCACAGUACAACCUGUGGGAGUGCAUAAAAUUGCAAGUGUACCAAAUGUAGUAGCCAGAUUUCUCAGCUUAGAAAAUCCUUCAGCAUAUACCAGUCGCUGCUUCCGUCGUACUUCUGCUAGCAUUCUGGCAAAUGCUGGAACCAGUAUGGAAGGUAUUAAGACACAUGGUGGAUGGCGGUCAUCGGCAGUGGUUGAAGGCUACAUCGACUAGUCAGAAAGUUCAGAAACUAAUGUUGCUUCAACAAUAUUAGGUACAACGGAAGAAUCAUUAGGGGAUUCAGUAAUAAAUUCUAGAAACAAAGAAAUAACAGAAAAUGCAUCAUCGUCUGGAUUCAAUA